rnacentral:lncRNA from 1 species
CUGAGCCAUUUGUUGUGUGUGUUUUACUGUGCCCUGUCCCCAGAGGUGGAGUCUACAGAGACAGGCAGGUUUCCAUGAGCUGCUGUGAGCUCCACCCAGUUGGAGCUUCCCAGCAGCUUUGUUCCUACUUAAGCCUCAGCAAUGGCGGGCGCCCCUCCCCCAGCCUCGCUGCUGCCUUGCCGGUAGAUCACAGACUGCUGUGCUAGCGAUGAGGGAGGCUCCGUGGGUGUGGGACCCUCCGGGCCAGGUGUGGGAUAUGAUCUCCUGGUGUGCCUGUUUGCUUAAAGCGCAGUAUUGGGUGGGAGUUACCCGAUUUUCCAGGUGUUGUGUGUCUCAGUUCCCCUGGCUAGGAAAAGGGAUUCCCUUCCCCCUUGCACUUCCCAGGUGAGGCAAUGCCUCGCCCUGCUUCAGCUCUCGCUGGUCGGGCUGCAGCAGCUGACCAGCACCUAUCGUCCAGCAUCCCCAGUGAGAUGAACCCAGUACCUCAGUUGAAAAUGCAGAAAUCACCGGUCUUCUGUGUCGCUGGCGCUGGGAGUUGGAGGUUGCAGUUAGCCAAAAUCACACCACUGCACUGCAGCCUGGGUGACAGAGAGAAACUCUGUUUCAAAAAAAAAAAAAAAAAAAAAAAAAGGGCUCCUGGUAUAUAGGAUCCGUUUUCAGCUUUCCUCUGAACAGGUUAUGAAUAAAACACAGCAAAGGCCUUUGGAUUUUGAGAAUUCUGAUCUCUGCCUAGACUGUCCUGAAAGUUUGUUUAUUCCAACCAAGUUUUAUUAUUCCCUCAUGUUUGUAGCAAAAAUUUCAACUUUUUAGGGACCUUGCCUAACCACUGAUAAUCUUCCCACUCUACCAGGAUAGACAAUGGAGACCCCAGCUCAUAUCGCAAGUGUCACCAGUAGAGCCUUUUAAUAUGAAACAUAUCUUUCUUUGGGGAGAACUUGACUUCAAAUUUGGACUUUCUGUUAUUUUUAUUAAAGAACAAUAGGGUAGCCAGUUGGCUAAGGAAAAAGCAGUUGUUUCAAAUUAGGUGUAAUUUUGAAUUCAGCCAAUAUUGGCUUAACAGGUUUUACAUAAGAUGUUUUUCUAUAUAUAGGAUGUUUGACUUAGUUUUAAAAAGACUGUGGUGGGUUUCCAUGUCCAUUGUUAUUUGGCCUUAUGCUUUGCAAAGUAACAAAAUAAGUUUAUUUUUAACAAUUAUGCUGCCAGUUUGAGUUAAACUGUUUAACAAGGGAGAGUUUUUACAAAAAAAAAAAAAAAAAAAAAAAAUCUCUUUGGAGGCAGAGAGUCUUAACUCACUCAAAUAAUAGGUUUUAAAGUGAAAGUGCUAGAACUUGAGAUCUGAGAUCAUAAGCCAACUGCUUGCACCUCCACAAAACAUGACACUUCUCAGGCAGUGAAUUGGGCUUUCUAUUGCCAAAGGUUUCAUUCUGGUUUCUAUGAGUCUGAUUUCUAUCCAGAGACCCUGCUUGCCUGGUGCUCCAAUUAGCUUUUUUUUUUUUGUGCAAGAGGGAUAUUAAAAUGGCCAGAAGCAGAGAAGCCAGUGAGAUGUAGAAGAAGAGUUUUUGUGUUAACAUCAGAGAGACCUGGGUUCAAGUACCAUAUUCUCCUCACCUGGGUUUGUGACCAAAAACAAGUUACUUUUCUGAGCCUCAGUUUCACCAUUCAUAAAAUAGGCAUGACAAUGCCUACCACCAAACAUUUGAUAAGAAUUCAUUGUGGGAGGGCACACCCAAGAUGGCCGAAUAGGAACAGCUCCAGCCUCCAGCUCCCAGCGUGAGCGACACAGAAGAUGGGUAAUUUCUGCAUUUUCAACUGAGGUACUGGGUUCAUCUCACUGGGGCAUGUUGGACAGUUGGUGCUGGUCCAUGGGUACAGCCCAACCAGCGAGAGCUGAAGCAGGGAGAGGCAUCACCUCACCUAGAAAGUGCAAGGGGGAAGGGAAUUCCUUUUCCUAGCCAAAGGAAAUUGAGACACACAACACCUGGAAAAUUGGGUCACUCCCACCCUAAUACUGCGCUUUACCAAGGGUCUUAGCAAAUGGCACACCAGGAGAUUAUAUCCCACACCUGGCCCAGAGGGUCCCACGCCCAGGGAGCCUCCCUCAUUGCUAGCACAGCAGUCUGAGAUCUAACUGCAAGGUGGUAGCAAGGCUGGGGGAGGGAUGUCCGCCAUUGCUAAGGCUUAAGUAGGUAAACAAAGCCACCAGGAAGCUCCAAUUGGGUGGAGCCCACCACAGCUCCAGGAGGCCAGCCUGCCUCUGUAGACUCCUCCUCUGGGGACAGGGCGUAGCUAAACAAAAAGCAGCAGAAACCUCAGCAGAGGUAAAUGCCCCGUCUGACAGCUUUGAAGAGAGCAGUGGAUCUCCCAGCACGGAGGUGGAGAUCUGAGAACGGACAGACUGUCUGCUCAAGUGGGUCCCUGACCCCUGAGUAGCCUAAAUGGGACCCACUAGGUGCAG